UCUAAACGACUCUCGGCAACGGAUAUCUCGGCUCUCGCAUCGAUGAAAAACGUAGCGAAAUGCGAUACUUGGUGUGAAUUGCAGAAUCUCGUGAACCAUCGAGUCUUUGAACGCAAGUUGCGCCCGAAGCCAUUAGGUUGAGGGCACGCCUGCCUGGGCGUCAC
rnacentral:rRNA from 1 species